rnacentral:rRNA from 1 species
AUGUGGUUGCCCUCGCUCGGUCACGGCCAGGAGGGUGGACUGGCGGUCGACGAGUUGCCGACCGAAGGAGGGCCGCCGCUUGCUCUGCCACCCCCGAUCUGGAAUAGAAGGGAGCAACUCCGGCGGCGAAGGAGAUGGGGAGAGGACGGCGGAUUGGGGGCAGAUGCUGCUGCUAUUUGUAUGGAGGAUUGGGGAAGAAGAUGGAUCUCUGUUUGGGAGAGCAGAAAGGAUUGCCUGCUGCAUGAGAGAGCAGAGGGGAUGCAGUGUAGUGUAGAUAUGAGGAUCUGCUUGAUUUGCUUGAUGCUUGUGCUGCUGCUUGCUUUGCUUCAUACUUUUGUUCGUUUCUCGUUUGCUCAUCUCUUCUUAAUCAACUGCUGUGAUUCUUACAACUUGUGUCCUUUGUCCCUUUUGCAGGGAGGAUUAGGUUAUUAG